rnacentral:rRNA from 1 species
AUUGAACGCUGGCGGCAGGCCUAACACAUGCAAGUCGAGCGAGCGGCGGACGGGUGAGUAAUGUCUGGGGAUCUGCCCGAUAGAGGGGGAUAACUACUGGAAACGGUGGCUAAUACCGCAUACUAUCAGAUGUGCCCAUAUGGGAUUAGCUUGUUGGUGGGGUAACGGCUCACCUAGGCGACGAUCCCUAGCUGGUCUGAGAGGAUGACCAGCCACACUGGGACUGAGACACGGUCCAGACUCCUACGGGAGGCAGCAGUGGGGAAUAUUGGACAAUGGGCGAAAGCCUGAUGCAGCCAUGCCGCGUGUAUGAAGAAGGCCUUAGGGUUGUAAAGCACUUUAAGUGGGGAGGCGUUACCCACAGAAUAAGCACCGGCUAACUCCGUGCCAGCAGCCGCGGUAAUAC